UGGUGAAGUGGUCCCAUCAACCAACAUCAAAGAAAUACAGUGAAUACAAAAUUGAUUGCUUUUCUUCUCACGUUAUUAUCCUGAGUCAGGGCGGUGGGGUAGCCUAAUGGUUAAAGCGUUCG